AAUACACCAUUAUAUUUCAUUAAUAAAUCAAUACAGUAACCAUAAGUCUCAAGACUCAUGCAAAUCUACCAAACAGAGAUCUUAAACACAUGUACCAACUCUCAAGAAAAAUAACAUAUCCCUUGAACAAGGAUCAUAGAAUUCCUACUUAUCAAGCUGUUAAUAUCACCAACCCGACCCAUAACCCAUACCGGGGUGUUCCCCCCAGUUCCGACAUUCAGAGCAUUUUGACCUGAAUCCAUAGACAAGAGAAAAUUAUGUUAGAAAAAAAUGCAAUUACCUGAUAUUUCCUUAUCGCGUUGAGCAAAAUGACAUGAAAUCAUGUGGAUAUACUCUGUUACAUGAACAGUAAUAUAAAUCAUGGACAAAGAACAAAGAACUAUAGAUCUUAUAACUCUUUUUGUUCAUUUAGCAUACCAUAUAUAAUACAACAAAAAUCGUCAAAAAUAAUGAAAAAUGUUAGUACAACAAUAUUAUACAGACCUAAUAAAAUGCAUUGUCUCCACAUUAUAUAUAAAACAAAAAAUGUAAGGUUAUUACCUGUAUGCAGUCCCGCCUGUCGCACCAGGAAAUAUAAGUUACUAAAACCCAAUUGUAAUAAUACAUGGUACUAUUCAAUAGUAAGAAUACAUGAUACUGCAACCCUGCUAAACUUGAUCAAUAGGUGAUGGCGGUCUAAAAAUUGGACAUGGUGCGACAUAAUCAAAAAGUUGUUAAAAAGCUGUAGAUGUAAAUUAGGAUUUCAAUAAUAUGUACUUGAGAUUCUUACCUUCCAUAUAACCAAAUCAACAUAAUCUUGGAAAUUGAAAUAAAACUUCUUCUUCAGGCAUUGUAUUCUCAGACAAACAAACAGAUACAUUACACAAAAGCUGAUAGGUAAUGUUAGGUGAACAAAAAAUGUUUUCUUGGGAAUUAAAAGCAGAAAAUAUCAAGACAUUGUAAUAAAAACUCAACGGCUCGCCAUUGCAAUAAGUCCGGCAGAUUUUAAUACAGGACAUAAAAGAAAAGGAGUUCAAAAAUCUUUAUGAUUUUCAUCACUACUUAUAUACUACUCACCAAUGUUGGGUCAUCUUCUUCAUUCGAUAUGAAUGAGAGAAUGCACUGUUUGAAACCAUUCGUUCGGGCAGCCCCAGGAAUAUGUUCGAUAUGAUCCGAGCCAUUCACUACUUUAGCAGUUCUACUUUUGCCCGAGUUGACAUACACUGAAAUUUAACAAUAAAACUGCCCAUCAAAACAACACCGAUAACUAAGUUAUCA
rnacentral:lncRNA from 1 species